rnacentral:rRNA from 1 species
GUGCCAGCAGCCGCGGUAAUAUCGUAGGGUGCAAGCGUUAAUUGGAAUUUCUGGGCGUAAAGCGUGCGCAGGCGGUUAUGCAAGACAGAGGUGAAAUUCCCGGGCUCAACCUGGGAACUGCCUUUGUGACUGCAUAGCUAGAGUACGGUAGAGGGGGAUGGAAUUUCGCGUGUAGCAGUGAAAUGCGUAGAUAUGCGGAGGAACAUCCAUGGCGAAGGCAGCUACCUGGACCAACACUGACACUGAGGCCCGAAAGCGUGGGGAGCAAACAGGAUUAGAUACCCUGGUAGUUCACGCCGUAAACGAUGUCAACUAGCCGUUGGAAUCCUUGAGAUUUUAGUGGCGCAGCUAACGCAUUAAGUUGACCGCCUGGGGAGUACGGCCGCAAGGUUAAAACUCAAAUGAAUUGACGGGGGCCCGCACAAGCGGU